GGGUAGGUGCCCGAGUGGCUAAAGGGGAUGGACUGUAAAUCCAUUGGCUCCGGCCUACGGUGGUUCGAAACCACCCCUGCCCA
rnacentral:tRNA from 1 species